AGUGACGGCAAUUACUGUGAAUAUGAGAACUGUGAAGACGAAGACUGAGAAAGAGUGAACACAUGGUCGUAGUAAUUACGGGUUUUGGAUUUCUUCUUUUGGAUCCCUUUUGUUGAUUUAAUCAUCUCAUCAUUGUUGAUUUUGAGUUUAGAUACGUUUUUGUUCUUUAGGUAAUGAAGCUCCAAACUUGAGGGUGCUUGCGGACAAGGUUGCAAGUUCUGGAUUUUUUGGUGUGGUUCCUGAUUAUACAAAAGAUUUUGAGGUGAAGGACGAGCGAAAAUAGAGAAUUAAGAGAUGGAUGAUAGUGAAGUUGUGAAGCAGAGAGAGAUGGAAUCCUGGAGUCUCUAGAAGUGACGUAGUCAAGGUUCUCUCCUUCUUUGUUUCUUACUUUGCCUCAGUCAGUCUGGAGCUUUCAAGUUGUCAAAGGAUGGUUUUCUAUUGCUCCAAUUUGCUCCUUCUGCUGGUGUACGACAAUAUAAUUGGGGCAAGAAACAGGUUGCACUUGAUUCGCCUCCAAGCUUCUGUUUGUGCUCUCUUGUCCUAUGCUACUGUUGUUGUUGCUGCAGCUUCUGUCUCUUCUCCUAUGCUACUGUUUUUGUUGCUGCAGCUUCUGCAAAAGAGAUCUCAGACAGCCAACGACAAAGAAAAGAACCAAGCUAUAGAGGAUUUGGAGAUGGCAGUGAAGUGUGGACAUCAACCUAAGUUCUUGGAGGGAGAGAAAGAGCAAACCAAUGGAGUUCUUCGUUUAAUCCAUCUGAAUUACAAUACUUGUCUUGUUUAAGACCUUGUUUUAAAUGGUGUUGAAUACUAAACUAUGUAUAUUUUGAUGAUCUAUGGAAAG